rnacentral:lncRNA from 1 species
CCAGCAGGAGGAUAAGAGCCAGUGAUUGCUAUGCUGGCUGCUGAGCUCUGACAAUAAACCCAUAACUAUAAUGGGAGUUAGGUGCCCAAAGGAGAAAAAGACAAAUACAGGCCCAGGGCUCCUUAGUAAGUUAUUUCAGAAACAGGAUGAAGAGUGAUACAGAAAUUAGAACCCAAUAUCAUGAACAUAUAAACAGUCAAUUCUCAUUGCUUCCAAGUUGUCUAGGUGAUUUGCAGAAGACUAGGGAAUUACUUGAUUCCUCUUUACUUU